GGAAGAAGAUAUAAUCUGAUGACGGAGAGAGAUAUAUGUCUCAUACACCAUGUUGUUUCAGAGUCUCUCCUGAAUCUUUCAUUUUUGUUGUUUGAUGCUAUGAGGGAUGCCUUGAACAGGUCCAAGGCUCCCUUGCCCUAUGGUAUGACCCUCAUAGUUAUCUUUGGAGAGGAUGAAGUCAGUUUUGAUGGAGAGGCUGUUUGUUGGCUGUCAUAUACUGACAUCUACAAUAAUCACUCUCUUAGGAGGAUGGAAUUUGUGAGAGUGGAUGGUCGAUGGGCUAAGAGUCGUACUGCAG
rnacentral:lncRNA from 1 species